UCUCCACCGGCUGUAAUGUAACCAUAUCAAAAGCACCUUUUUCAAAAUGGCGGGCUGUUUGAACUGUCAUUGGCCCGCUUAGAUUAACUCAACUCCGCUGCUCUCAUGUAGCCUUUUAUUAAAAAGUGAACCUGUCAGCGUUUUCCAAUCAUCGCAUUGAGGAGGGUUUUGAAUUAAUAAUCCAGUUUUGUGGCUAACUCCGUGUUAUUCGGCGCAUGGAACACGUUAACCGGCCCCAAACUGCACUACAAUCCGGGGUGUUCCUGUCCUCAAUGUUCCACUGAGAAGCCGCGGCCAAGGCUCUGUGAAAAACUGGCAACCCGUUCAUUCUUCCUGCCUGUUGCCCAGUGCAAGCUGGGAUGUGCUCCAGCCUCCUGUGACCCUGAACAACAACAAGCAGAUGUAGAAGAUGGAUGGAUGUCUUGGCUGCAGCUUUAGAAAUAUCUCUGGAAGAAGAUUGCUGUUUGUUUCAUCAUUUUUACCAAUUAAGAAAAAUCCAUGAAGAUACUUUGUUUUAUCUGCACACGUCUGGGUCCCAAAUUGCAGUAAACAUUUCAAAUAAGCAAAUUGGCAGUAAUUACCAUAUGGGACAAAGCAGCAGCUCGGAGUGUGGAAGAAUGUGGAUUUCAGCGUGGUGUCCAGAGGUUUUCUCCCGUUUUACCACUUCCUGCAAAGAGGACAGCAUCAGAUGCAAUGCGAGGACCAGACGGAAGACCUUCACCAGCUUCGUCCAUGUUGGGCGCAGCGGUUAUCACUUGCAGAGGCUCAGUCUGUCGUUUCAUUAGACCGAACGUUUCAUUUUUAAAAUUUGUUUUAUUGCCUUUCAUAUAAAACAUUCUUUGAGACUC